GACAGAGGUGCCGAGCGUUAGGCGGAAUCACUGGGCUUAAAGCGUGUGUAGGCGGAUCGGUAAGUACCUUGUGAAAUCCCACAGCUUAACUGUGGAACUGCUUGGUAUACUGCCAGUCUUGAGCCACUUAGGGGCUACCGGAACAAAUGGUGGAGCGGUGAAAUGCGUAGAUAUCAUUUGGAACGCCAAUGGUGAAAACAGGUAGCUGGGAGUGUGCUGACGCUGAGACACGAAAGCCAGGGGAGCAAACGGG
rnacentral:rRNA from 1 species